AUAUAUUAUAAAAGUAAAUGAACAACACAGAAGAACUUUUUUUUACAGACUAGAUACAAUCAAAGCAGAAAGCAUCUUUUCAGUGACACAGACACAGAAUACAGAGGAGAUGACAGCAAGACAGACAUCAGCUGGCUACAAAAAUCCAAAGCACCAUCUAAGCCACAGAUAAUUGAUUACAGUAGAAGUAAAAACUUAGAGAAAUCAAAAAGAAAGGGCAAAAAUAAGUUCUCUGAAUCCCCUUGCUGGAUGGAUACGCCCAAAGGCAAAACGGCAAAAAAGAAAAAGCUAACUGAAUGUAAAAAACAAAGUUCAGUAAUUGAUGAAAUGAUGGAACAAACCACCAGACCAAAACGACCUCAAAGAGCAGUGCAACCAAAAAAUUACAAAGAUCCUUCCAGUUCAGAGUCAGGAAGUGAAUUUUCAGCAUGUACCUAUAAGAGGGAGAAAUCAAAAGUACAGAAAUGUGUGAAUGAGAAGAACAAAGAUGGUAAUCAUCAGAAGGAUCUCCAGAAUUUGGAGGAGCCAAAGACAGUAGCAAACUGUGUAAAUAAAGCAUUUAUUAAAUCAAAGAACUCUACAGAACAAAAGGAAAUUGAAAUGUCUUCACCUGAGAGUCCUGCAUCUCUAGA
rnacentral:lncRNA from 1 species